rnacentral:rRNA from 1 species
ACACGUGGGUAACCUGCCUUAUAGUGGGGGAUAGCCUUUCGAAGGAAGAUUAAUACCGCAUAAGAUUGUAGUAUCGCAUGAUAUAGCAAUUAAAGGAGCAAUUCGCUAUAAGAUGGACCCGCGUCGCAUUAGCUAGUUGGUGAGGUAAUGGCUCACCAAGGCGACGAUGCGUAGCCGACCUGAGAGGGUGAUCGGCCACAUUGGGACUGAGACACGGCCCAGACUCCUACGGGAGGCAGCAUG